rnacentral:rRNA from 1 species
GAUGAACGCUGGCGGCGUGCCUAAUACAUGCAAGUCGAGCGAACGGACGAGAAGCUUGCUUCUCUGAUGUUAGCGGCGGACGGGUGAGUAACACGUGGAUAACCUACCUAUAAGACGGGGAUAACUUCGGGAAACCGGAGCUAAUACCGGAUAAUAUUUUGAACCGCAUGGUUCAAAAGUUAAAGACGGUCUUGCUGUCACUUAUAGAUGGAUCCGCGCCGCAUUAGCUAGUUGGUAAGGUAACGGCUUACCAAGGCAACGAUGCAUAGCCGACCUGAGAGGGUGAUCGGCCACACUGGAACUGAGACACGGUCCAGACUCCUACGGGAGGCAGCAGUAGGGAAUCUUCCGCAAUGGGCGAAAGCCUGACGGAGCAACGCCGCGUGAGUGAUGAAGGUCUUCGGAUCGUAAAACUCUGUUAUUAGGGAAGAACAUAUGUGUAAGUAACUGUGCACAUCUUGACGGUACCUAAUCAGAAAGCCACGGCUAACUACGUG